GGGGGCUCCACCAAGCACCACGAGCCCUCCUGUCUGGGUGACUACAUCUUCCAAGUCUGUACCCUACAUCCAUGCCCUCGGAGAUCCCUUCAGCAGCAGUGUCACCCUGGGACGAAUUGCCUCCAGGCGGUGCGCUUCAUCCUGCCUAAGGACAUGGCCAUGAAGUUGCUGGUGAAGUGGUACAACAUCUACAAUGACGCCGGGGGCCCCAGCGCUCACCUGGGGUGUAACCUUUUUGUCACUUGCUUCAUGACUCUCAUGGGCUACAACACGGAGCGGCUGGGCUGGAAACGCAAUCGCCAUUUUGAACUGCCCCUCUCCAGUGGUUGCACCAAAGAAGGCCCGGCCGUCCGACACGGGGUCUAAGGAGGAGUAUAGCCUACCUGGCUGGUAUGAAAAUGAACCACCGGAGAAGCUUCUCCAUUCGCUAUUUAACCCAGAUGCUGCAUCCGUGCUUCCUGAGGGCGUAGCCUCCGUGUGUUCAGCUGGCUCAGCAGCUGUCUGAAGGGAGAGGAGGUAGCACCUACCUGCCCGGCAUCUGUGAGAGGACCAAACUACUGGUGCUGGUAUGCUAUCAACAUCAUCAUCAUCAUCAUCCAUCAUCAUCAUCGUUGUUGUUUAUUCUCAUAUACUGUGUCCAUCUUUGCCUCAUGAUGACAAGGGAAGGAAAUAUAUGGAGCCAUAUAUAUCGCUCUGGAAAUGUGUAGAAUACACUUUUUCCCCCCAAGACUUAAUGAAUGUGGGAAUUUAGAGUUUGCUUGCAAUAUCAACAUCUCCAGUAGGGGGUGCCACUGACAACUGAAAAGGGAAUAAGUGUUUACAUCAGGGAUCAUCAACUAUAUUCAGCCAUGGGACAAUUUAUUUUAUUUUAUUCUUGAGCGGAUGGUCAGGGGGCCAAAACAUAAAUACUAAUCAUUUGUAGAAUGAAAAUUGACCUUGCUUACGUUUGUAUACGGUCACAUAUCUCUGUAUUAUGCGUGGGAAUACAUUUUAACAGAUUUUCUAAAUUAAAAUCACUUGGAGCUGAUUUGCUGUUGUUUAAGAAAAAAAAGUACAUUCUUAUUGCUGCCAGUUGGGGAAUCCUGAUUUACAUUGUCCUUGGUGUGAGGAAAGUAGACAUCACCUUUUGGUUUGGUUAGCUACAGAACAGCUAGAGGACCUCACAAUCUGACUGACACGGUACAUAAAUACUGUUUUGACAAUAAAAAGUUCCUGGAUAUUUUGAGUGACCAACGUCAAAUCAUCCUCCCUGGCUUGGUUGGCAGUCCCUAGCCCCAGUGGAGCCAAUGCUAGGUCAGGCUCUAAUAGGAUCUCCCUGUUUAAAAGGGGUCAUCAAGCAAUGACACGCAUGCUCUGUUUAAAUGUCAAAUGGCUAUGAUAUAAGGCUUCAUGCUAGGGAGAGAGGGAAACAUUUGUCUUGUGUCUAAAGACAGAGGGAAUGUAUGUGAGUAAGACUGUGUGCACGUGUGAAGGCGCACGCUUGUAUUUGUGUGUGUCUGUGUACUCCACUAUAAUUAAGCCCUGGUCGGAUGGAGGGCUGAAUCAGGUUGGUGGAGUGGAGGAGACUGUGCUGAUGACCAGGCCUUGUGCGUCUCCUCCCAUCAGGCUAAGUGAGGUGACUCAUGUCACUGCUGAGAGACUGACAGCCUGUCAUGCAAUUACAGAAUCUAUUUACCCCAUCACUGUCUCUCUCUCUCUCUCUUUCUCUCACUCCCCAUUUCUCGGUCUGUGUCUCUUAACAGACCAGACGCUGACGUUUGUUUCUCUGUCUUUUUCUGCCUCUUUCUCUCCCUCCCUCUCAAAGCUACACCCUGUACAUGAUUGGAAAUGGCAAUGCCACUUCAGUUGGAUGUUUUGAAAUAUCUAACCAAGCUCUGCAGUAUGCAUCUGGGGCCAGGAGCUGCAUGUCCAGGAGGCCAGACGUCUCCUCCAGAGCUCCCGACCAGUCAGGCUCAGCGUGGUCCACCGGGCCUUGGUCAGCGACAUAGAGGAGAAGGAGAACAAACUGCUGCAGCUGUGCCAGCGUUCCAUGGCUCUGCCAGUGGGCAGAGGCCUGCUCACUCUCUUCUCCUACCACCCUGUGUCAACAGAGCCCCUACCUGUGUCUAAACUCAACCUUACUGAUCUGAACAGCGGGAACAUUGACCUUCUUCCCAACAUGACGAGCUGGUCCAGCUUUCACAACAGGGUGGCUGCGGGCCUGAAGAUCGCCCCAGGCCUCCCAGGUGGACUGCCUGCAUCACCUACAACAUGCCCAAGAGCCCUGAUCAGGCCAAUGAGUACGCAGGCUUCUUCAUGGCUCUGGGCCUCAACGGACACCUCAGCAAGCUGGCCACACUCAACCUACAUGACUACUUCACCGAGAAGUGAUCCCCGCUGAGUAGGAAGUCCAUGGAGGACUAAUUAAAAUGGCUGCCAUGACAUGCCGAGCAUCGGGCUGCUACUGGGUGUGUCUGCAGCCAAGCUGAGCACCAUGGACGUGUCAAUCACCCACCUGCUGAGCAUCCCCGCACUUCUCCCACCCACCUCCACUGAGCUGGACGUACCACACAACGUGCAGGUGGCGGCCGUGCUGGGCAUCGGCCUGGUCUUCCAGGACACGGGCCACCGCCACAACGCAGAGGUGUGCUCGCUGAGAUCGGUGGACUCCCCCUGGUCCUGAGAUGGAGUACUGCGCAGACAGAGAGCCCUACUCCCUGUGCUGGCCCUGGGUAUGGUCUGGCUGAAGGUAUGUCUAGUAGAUCACACUGCACUUACCUUACUGUAAAGCUGACAGUGUUUCCUUGUACAUUUUGUUUUUAAAUACUUUUAUUUUUGAUCCUGCGGCUCUGGGCUUAGUUGCUGUGAGCGCUGCUGUCUGUCCCGGGGUCCUGCCAGAUUCCGGAUAGGGGAAGAGACACGGAAGCCCAGCUAGCCUAGCUGGCUCGGUGGUCUCAAAUGGAGGUCACUAUUAAACGUUUCCAGUGCUGCAGGAGCUGUGUUUACUUUGCUUUGUUCCGGGACAAUGGGGACCGCGCUGACUUUUAAUGUAGCAUCUGUUUUCUUGCGGAGGACUACAGGGUCAAAGUGGAUACUCUUAGCAAGCAGGUAGCAAACCUACACAAGCUACUGGGGAAUCCACGUGCCGGUCUGGUUGAAGUGUCGCCUCUGUGUCGGCUCUCCACGGCCGACUGGCCGGUGCUCAGCAGGGCUCCAUCCCCGAAGGGGCCUCCCCCAUCCCUGGAGAACAGAGCUGUUCUCAACCCAACAAACCAGCUAUGGAGGUACGUCACUCGCCGUGGAAGUCGAAGAAAGCAUCCUCUGGCAACAGGGGUCUCCAUGGAGAUAUUAAGCCUGGACCUGACACAGACCAGAAAUGACUUUGCCGCCCUGGAUCCAGAGGUUCCGGCGCCAUCUUCCUUAGGGGCUUCCCAUUCAAGAUCAGAUCCAGAGGUACCUGCGUCUUUGUCUUCUGUUCUGUCUCCCUCUCUGGUUGCUUCUACCUCUGGUUCAGAUCCCUAGAGCUCCCACAAUCAUCAGACCGUGAGGCUGCCUGGGAGACUGGCCCAUUCAACAUCACCAGCAGUCGUCAUAGGCAGCUCUAUGGUGAGAAACAUCUCGGUCCCCAAGGCAAAAACCCUGUGCUACCCAGGAGCACGAGUACAGGACAUAACAAGGCUGCUUCCGACUGUUCUACCACAGAUGCCGGGAGCUGACACUGUCGUAGUCCAUGUGGGGUCAAACGACAUCAGGAGGGCUAGCUCGGAACAUUUGAAAAUGGACUUUAAAGAACUGAUUUUAGCAUAAUUUCAGAUCCAGUACCACCGUUGGGCCGCGGGUGUGAAUGAUUCAGCAGGCUACUGGCAUUACACAUCUGGCUAAAAGGCUACUGUAGCUCUGCUGGAAUCACUUUUAUUGAUAACUUUGACACCUUCUGGAAACAGAAGAUACUCUACAGGAAUGACAGAGUCCAAAUCAUCUUAGCUCCUGGACUUCAAGGCUGCGUUGAAACAAUGACUGGUAAAUGAUCCAAGACCAGCUCAGUUAAUCCCUACCAUUGUGACAAUGAGUCGUCAUAAUGCUGCAUCAAAUGUACAUUAUCCUAGGGGCGUUGGCAGAUGCAAUGUAUGUAACUUUAAUUUAUGUUCCCCUA